UGAUAAGCCCUUGAAAUAUAAAACCCUGAGAAUGAAUGUGUUUCCAUGUUUACCCACUGAUGAAUAACCCUGAGAAAAGGUUGAAUUUGGAAAAAUCAAACUGUUGACUUGCUGUUUAUCAGGAGACCUGAGCAGGAUGUUGGCUGUGCUCCUCACAUCUAGUCACAUGCACCUUGUUUAUCUCGGAUCGGUCCACUGUCCCGGUGUCCUGUCAGGGAGUGUUGUGCCCACUGGGCCAUGUGACACAAGUGGCUGUGGAUGGUGGUGCAGUUCUAUGAAAAGAUCCUAGGCCUUCCAGCAGUCAGGAAUGUUUGUUGUCAGGAUGGAAAAGAUCGGGUGUCACCAGCUGCCGGCGCCCCUAUAAAAGACCGAGCUGUAAGCUCUUGACCAGAAUAGAUCGUAGCCUUGGAACUGACUGUUGGAGACGAGAUCGCCUACUUUGCUAGCCGUUCUGAUCCUUUUACCAAGGCCUUUUGACUUUGCUGGAGGUGUGGACACUUGUUUGUUCGGCUUUAGAACAGAGACUUAUUAUGGAUGUCCAGAGGACAGGAUCCAUUGUUCGACCCCCCAGCCCCAUGGAUAGUCUUGAGAAGCAGUUGAGCUGCCCCAUCUGCCUGGAGAUGUUCACCAAGCCCGUGGUGAUCCUGCCUUGUCAGCACAACCUGUGCCGUAGCUGUGCCAGUGAUCUCUACGACUCGCGCAACCCAUACCGCUACUCGGGCGGAGUCUUCCGCUGCCCGACUUGCCGCUUUGAAGUAGUGCUCGACCGACAUGGUGUUCAUGGCCUCCAGCGCAACUUGCUGGUGGAGAACAUUAUUGACAUCUACAAGCAGCAGCAAGAAGGUCGAAACAGCGGCGACACGGAGACCAGCCUGAAGACCAAAGAAUCCAAAGAGCCCAUGUGCCAGGAGCACGACGAUGAGAGGAUCAACAUCUACUGUGUGACCUGCCAGGUUCCCACCUGCUCCAUGUGCAAAGUGUUCGGCCAGCACAAAGACUGUGAGGUGGCUCCUCUAGAAACCGUGUACCAGACCCAGAAAGGUGAACUGAGCAACGCGAUAGAUACCCUGGUGGCUAGUAAUGCUCGCUUGCAGGCUUUGCUGAACCAGAUGGACGACGCCUGCCGUGCCGUCCAGGACAACGCUCAGACCGCCAAACAGGGGCUCGCCGAGCGCUUUGACCUCUUGUACGCCAUACUGGAAGAGCGCAAGGCCAUUUUGCUGGAGCAGAUUGGGAAGGAGCAGGACGAGAAGGUGGCAGCUCUGCGAGCGCUGGCUCAGCGGUACGGGGAACGACUGCAGGCCAGCACCGAGCUGACGGAUUCAGCUGUCAGGGCACUGGAGCAGAACGGAGCGGCCGAGUUCCUGCUGCUCUCCAAGGGCCUCAUCACACAAACCAAAGAUGCAGCCAAGUCCUCCCUGGGGGAGGAGCGGCCAGAGCCAGGCUUUGAGAAGAUGGACCACUUCACUUUGUCCACAGAGCAUGUGGAGACCCUCCUAGCUAAAAUGGACUUUGGCGUUGCUGAUGAUGAAGAUUUUGAGGAUGCUGAGGAGGAGGAAGAGUAACUAAAAAUGGUUUCAAAUAACUUUGUAAAUGUUUUUGGAGGCUUCUUUGUUUUUGAUAUGUUAGGAAUAUUCUAUUAAUUAAAUGUAAGGUCAUGUAUGACAAACAGGUGGGCUGCAAUGACACGCCCUUAUAUGUGCAAUAUUGUUUUUAAAGGAAUAUUCAGAAUAUUCCUUCUUUAAAGGCAGACAAAUUUCUUCAGAUAUCUGGUGGAUAGACUCGUCUUUGACCUCGUCCUCAAAAAGGAAAAAGGAUGUACUUUUUGACACGUUCUCUGUAAUAUUCUGUUCCUUUCUUCUUGUCUUUUUUAUACUUUUGUAUUGGAAAGUCACAUAAAUUGAAAUGAGAAGUAAAGAGUGAUAUGUUUUGAAAACUUCACAUUAUUUUAAUAGAUGGCAUUUGAAAUUCUUGGUCUCACUCUGUGGAAAUCUGGGAAUCUGUCCACUGAUGCCUGGAAUAAAGUUGCAUGAAGCUGAGCUCCUGCUCCAGUGACUUUUGCACUCUUUCAAAAAGCCCUUUUCUCAUUUUGACCGUCAUGGCCCUCAAAGGUUGGACAUCUCCUCAAAAUGUGGAAGUGCGCCACUCGCGUGUUUGUUGAAGGUCUCAGUGGGUUAAAAAUAAAAGCCCUUCUGCUUUGCCUUUGCUGGUGAAAUGUUGAGGUUAUUUCGAAGAGGUGAAAGGCUGACAGCUGAUAGAGGGCCCUUAAAUAGACUGAGCUGGGGCACGCCAGGUCCUGUUUCUGCUCCCUAAAACCCCCGUCACCGUGCUCUGGCAUGUCUUGCUCUGCACCUUCUGGACAACUUUAAAGUGUCAAAGGGUCAUGAUGGGAAAGGCAGGUCCAGCUGCUGCUCCAAACAACUCCUUAGUGGCCCAAAGGAGGUAAAAAUACAUCCUCAGGCCUAUGUCAUCGAAGCUCCCCAAAGUCGCUUGGCUCUCAGCUCAGGGGGUGUUAAACUGAACCAUGAAGCCCUGCCAACAGACGCCUGCACACGCUUGGUCUGGAGCAUCACUUUAGGGCGGGAAGCUUCGUGUCACUAUUUGAAACAUCUUAGUUUAGGGGAAUUUCCGGACCGCCUUCUCUUCUCCGGUCUGUUGCUACGCUGCAGCCUGCUGUGGGUACACACAAGCUGUUGCUAGCCGAUAAAACACGGAGGCCAUGACCCUGAGGAGCCUGUGCUGCAUCAGCCCCUGUCAUGACGGAUCUGCACACGUCGGAGAAACGCCGUAAGGACCUGCAGCCACUGCCAGGACUCCUGUGGGUCACAGAGUGCAAACACUCGCACAGAAGAAAAACCUGGAUUAGUAAGCAGGUAUUGGUGGAUGCUGGCAGUCCUUGACAGUAUUGCCAAGGACUUUUUACUGUUGAAAGGGGGGUCAUCAUAGAAGUCUUCAGUUGCACACAGAGCGCACACGGCAAAGGGCCUACAGCCUGGUGGCACAGGCGUACACCUCCAUCACAGCCGAGGACUUUGCUGCUUUUGUGGGUUACUCAGUGGAAGAAGCCGUCAAAGGCGUAGUGAGUCAAGGCUGGCAGGCGGAUCCCACCACAAGGAUGGUCAUGCCCAUAAAACCAGAUCCUCCCCCAGUGUCCCUGGUUCCAAAUGAGCAGCAGUUGGCCCGACUCACAGACUACGUGGCUUUCCUGGAGAACUGAUAACCGGCCCAACAUCCCUACCUGUCUUUGUCUGCUUCGCAAGAUCUCACUCCACUCUUCCUGUCUGCAUGAAUUCAUUUGGCCUUUGAACUCUUCACAGGGUUUAUGUUCAACCAAUGAACACAAGCUUUAAUAUUCAGAAAGGCUUUUGUUUUCUCUGUUGUGCCGUAAACAUUUAGGCCCAAGUUCUGCGGCAUCAAAGUCCCAAUGUGGCCGUAAAUCUGCAAAGCCUCGGUUGGUUUGGAGAGUGUGGAGCCCCCCCCCUCUGACGUCAUGCUUUCACUGGUGUUUAGGUUGAUGAAUAAAUGCUCGGAUCUUCGUAA